CCUCAUUGCAGUAAACGUUACUGAGGAAACACCACUCUUAAUCACUCUCGUGAUUAUUUCUCCCCGUAUUCAGCCAAUCACCGCAUGAGGGCACUCUAUAUGAGGAGGCUGUGUUCAGUCUGACUCUCUUGCUCGUUGGCUCCGAGACCGUCCACUUCCUGGUCGCCUCGCUUCCUUUCCCCGCUGCCACCUACGCAGCUUCCUGCAUUGCUGUCCCGGGCUGACGCUAACGACGUGCGCCGUUCCCCUGAGCUGUCUGGCUGUCCUCCUCCCGCUGCUGCACAGCGCGAGCUCUCCUCCGCUCUCGCUCAGGUGAUCAAACACCACCUGAUCGUUGCUGAGAGCCAAAGGUGGUGGUCCUGGUGUCCUGGGUGGUGGCUUCCCCUCUUUCUUUUGGUGUGCUGUGCGUCCCCUGGUCCUGGCUUUCCCUUCACUAAAGUGUGUGUGUGUGUGUGUGGCUGUCACGUGUGAUUGGGGUGACCUUAAUUUUGUUGGAUCCCUCACACCCUUGUCGACCCAUCUCCCUGCCAGUAAGCCUCAGUACUGAAAGGUCCCCCUUUCCUUACAUCCCUGUGUGGACGGUGUGUCUAGUGUGUUUUAGCGACGUAUUUUGUAAUAAAGCAUUGA